GCGCGCGGCCAACGGUCCCUGUGCGGGGCGGGAGCGCGCGCGUCACCAACGGUCCCUGUGCGGGGCGGGAGCGCGCGUCGGCCCACGGUCCCUGUGCGGGGCGGGAGCGCGCGCGGCCAACGAGAGCCAGAAGAUAGACACAAAAUGCUGGAGGGUGAGGCAAGAUCUCUGGAGACACAAAAACCUGGAUUAACUGCAUGAUUAUUGAUAAGUUAUUCAUUUGCCUGAUGAAACUGAUGAUGGUAAAGCUGACAUUUACUGCGUGACUCUCAUUGCACUUGAGAAGGUGAUGGUGAACCACCUUCAUGAACACCAGUUUAUGAAAAGUUGGAAAAAAUAUUGCACUGAAAUUCUAUACAUGCGAAAACAAAUUAAGUAUAUUUGGAUUCUAAUAAAAUCUGACGACUGAAAA